CUGUCCCUCGACCUGUUACCUGAAGGAGGGACGGUGAUGGGCAUGCUCGAGGACUACCAGAAGGAGGAGAAGCUGGAGUAUCGGUGCGAGUGUGGAGGCACCACAUCAGGCCAGCGCUCAGCAUUCGUGAACCUGCCUAAGGUGCUCGUCUUACACCUGAAGCGCUUCAAGUACACCGACAACUUCGAGCU